AGAGUUUGAUCCUGGCUCAGGAUAAACGCUGGCGGCGUGCCUUAUGCAUGCAAGUCGAACGGGUCACCUUUGGUGACCAGUGGCAAACGGGUGAGUAACGCGCAAGUAACCUGCCCUUAAGUAGGGGAUAACUCUGAGAAAUUGGAGCUAAUACCUUAUGUGGUGAUGGAGGUAAGGCCCCAUCACUAAAGCCCUAGGGCGCUUAAGGAGGAGCUUGCGUCCGAUUAGCUAGUUGGUAGGGUAAUGGCUUACCAAGGCGACGAUCGGUAGCUGGUUUGAGAGGAUGUCCAGCCACACUGGGAUUGAGAUACGGCCCAGACUCCUACGGGAGGCAGCAGCAAGGAAUAUUGUGCAAUGGGCGAAAGCCUGACACAGCGACGUCGCGUGGGGGAUGAAGGCCUUCGGGUUGUAAACCCCUUUUCUCAGGGAAGAAUAAUGACGGUACCUGAGGAAUAAGUCUCGGCUAACUACGUGCCAGCAGCCGCGGUAAUACGUAGGAGGCUAGCGUUAUCCGGAUUUACUGGGCGUAAAGAGGGCGUAGGCGGCUUUUCAAGUCGGAUGUAAAAUCUCCCGGCUUAACUGGGAGGGAUAAUCCGAUACUGUUGGGCUAGAGGGCAGCAGAGGGAGGUGGAAUUCCCGGUGUAGUGGUGAAAUGCAUAGAUAUCGGGAGGAACACCAGUGGCGAAGGCGGCCUCCUGGGCUGUUUCUGACGCUGAGGCCCGAAAGCGUGGGGAGCGAACAGAAUUAGAUACUCUGGUAGUCCACGCCGUAAACGAUGGACACUAGGUAUGGGGAGUAUCGACCCUCUCUGUGCCGAAGCUAACGCAUUAAGUGUCCCGCCUGGGGACUACGGCCGCAAGGCUAAAACUCAAAGGAAUUGACGGGGGCCCGCACAAGCAGCGGAGCGUGUGAUUUAUUCGAUGCAACGCGAGAACCUUACCAGGGUUGACAUGUCGAGUAGACCUGAAGGGGACGACCUGUUGAGUCAGGAGCCGUCACAGUGCUGCAUGCUGCGGUCAGCUCGUGCGUGAGGUGUUGGUUAAGUCCCGCACGACGUACCUCGUUGCAGUAAUUCUCUGCGAACCGCCUGCAAACGUAGGAGUUGGCAUGACGUCAGUCACAUGCCUUAGCCU
rnacentral:rRNA from 1 species